rnacentral:lncRNA from 1 species
AUUUCAGAAAUAAUUCAAAAUAAUAUUUUUUGGAUGUGUACUACUUGAAAGAUAUAGUUCCAGGAAAAAGAGAUGCAAAGAGAGAUACAUAAAAAGAAGUGUUAAGAAUUGCCCUUUGAGAGUCUGAAGGCUGAAGAGUACCAGAUAAAUUGCAGUCUGUGCCUCAUAGCUAAACAGACUGCCUGAAGUUACAUUUAGAGACUGAAAUCACUGCACCUUAAAAAACAAAAGAUUGAGCUACACUGUGUUCCUGUAAGUGGAAGCUUCUUGCACCUCCCUCUGUGUUUCUGUGACCAAUUCCAAACAGGGACAAAAGCAUUACUAACAUAGUAACAAGAUAUAAGUAAAAAUUUGAAUGUCCUAGGAGAAAUACAUCUUUAAAUAAUUUCUUUCUUUUAAAAGAAGUUUUUAGGCUCAAUAUUCAGUACGUCUUUUUUUAUCUAACUAAAAUUGUGAAUUCUUUCUUUUAGCUGGUUUGAAUUUUGUUACAGAGGGUGUCACCCAUUGUGCAUCAGCACAGUGACAUGCACCCUGUCUGGAUUCUUGGAUUUUGGUACCAAAUUUAUGAAAGGUAAAAGGUUUCUUAUGAAAUCAAAGUAGAUUUUACUUUCCUUUGUGAUGUCAUUAGCAAUUUUUAGCCCUUGUUUCAAUGGAAAUGGAAAGUUCAUGAUGACAUCACAAGGUUCUGAUGCCUUGAGGACUUUGGACAAAACCAAGUAAAAUGCAUAAUUCCCUUGUGUGCGUGUGUUCCCCAUUCUGCUACGAAGCAGUCAAAAUAGUACAUCUUAUGUCUUCCCAUGAGCUACAAGGCUGUCUCUCAGAGCCCCAUUGUUCCAUAAAUGCAUGUCAGAGUCUACCACAGUCUGGUCUACCCUUAUUUAGCUGCUGUUUUGUCAAUGUACUUGGAAGAACAAUUAACAUUUGGGAUUUUAGUGUCUGAAUAACAGGCAGUGAAUAGAACUGGAGCGUAUAAAAGAUUCAGACGCCCAGGGUAAGAAAACAGAAGCUUAUAGUCAGUAGAAGAAAAAAAGAAAAUCAUUUUAAUGCUG